rnacentral:lncRNA from 1 species
UUGGUCUGCAACCAGCAACCACGUAACUCUCGUUAGCCCUAAUUCUGAAUGAAGAAUCAUUGGUUAAUGGAGGAAGAUGGUGUAGUUCAUGCUAGUUCUGAAAUCAAUUUAAUCAACAAUGAAGACACCGUACUCUGAAACAAUACAUUCAUUGUCUUUUUAACCCUACAAAUCUUCGACAACCACAUGUUUCCGCCGCCUCUCUAUCGUACCUGAUUCAACACAACCACCGUCACAAGAAUUACCACAAUUCGUCAUCACUGUUCCCUCAGGCUCUCCUCAAAAGCGCUCAAACUGAAACAUCUGAUUCAAAUCGAACAAAUGGAUGAAAUACUAUCAACUUGAAGAAUUUAUUGGGGUUGCAUAAGUAUUCGAGUGGGUCGGAGAUGUACAAAAAGGCACUACAAGCUGUAUAUUUAACUGCAAUUUGGGGCAUUUGGAAGGCGCGAAACAAGGCGGUGUUUAACAAUGUUCAGGCACAGCUCCAAAAGACUAUGAGCUGACAUAAAAGCUCUUAGCAUAAGCAUUAGGAAGGGAGGGUGGGUAACAGAUUGAUCGCGUUUAUCUUAGCUCUGCUUAUUGUGUUGUUGUACUUGAUCAUGAAAGGAAGUGGACGUAUGUGUUGAGGAAGGAAGGGCUACCUGAUGUUGGUUUACACUUUAAUUGGAGCUAGAGCAGCAGAAGUUGCUAUUGAUGCUGCUAAUAUAUUAAAAUGAGCCCUUACCAGAGGUGAAUUGCAGGUGGCAAUGUAUACACUUGAUAAAUACCGAAAACAUAUUGAAUAAUAUCCAGCGUUAGAGAGAUAUCCAGCGUUAGAGAGACGGUUCCAGCCAGUUAAGGUGAAACAAGCAAGGAUGAACAAACAAAAAUUUUGGCUUAUAGCCCCGAAGAAGCUCUGUAAUUGUUAUUGGAAUGGCUGGACUGCUUGAUUAUUUAUUUGUAUAACAUCAUUUUUUUCAUGUUUCCAUAUCAUACUCACUAGUUUGUUUGCAUGCCAACGUGUGUGAGAUAUCACCACUUUAUGCUGUACUUUUUUUUAUACACGCCCAAUUACUAACAUUGGUAGGUUUGUUUGUUUUUAUUGUAUUUAUAUAAUAUAUAAAUAACUUCUAUAUAUUGUGUCUUC